UUUCCGUAGGUGAACCUGCGGAAGGAUCAUUAUUGUAUAACCGAGGUGCAAGGGCUGUCGCUGACCCGAAAGGUCGUGCACGCCCGAGUGCCCUCACACACAUCCAUCUCACCCCUAUGUGCACCACCGCGUGGGUCCCCCUUUGGCUUGUUCGGAGGGGGGCUUACGCUUUCACACAAACUUUGUAUGCAGUGUAGAAUGUAUUUUUUGUUUUUGCGAUCACGCAAUCAAUACAACUUUCAACAACGGAUCUCUUGGCUCUC
rnacentral:misc_RNA from 1 species